rnacentral:sRNA from 19 species
UCUUGGUAUUAUUUAACUUGAUUUGUGAUAGUUAGAUAUCUCAGGGCUACACGCCUGUUUAUCAUGGCCAUUUAAUGGUUAUAAAAUACAGCUGUGACACUUAGUAAAUAUUGAACAGAUGAAACAGCAUUGCAAUUAAGGAUAAGCAGGCUAUAUAGC